AUUGAACGCUGGCGGCAUGCUUUACACAUGCAAGUCGAACGGCAGCGCGGGGGCAACCCUGGCGGCGAGUGGCGAACGGGUGAGUAAUGCAUCGGAACGUAUCCUGUAAUGGGGGAUAACGUAGCGAAAGUUACGCUAAUACCGCAUACGCUCGAGAGAGGAAAGUGGGGGAUCGCAAGACCUCACGUUAUAGGAGCGGCCGAUGUCCGAUUAGCUAGUUGGUGGGGUAAAGGCCUACCAAGGCGACGAUCGGUAGCUGGUCUGAGGGGAUGAUCAGCCACACUGGGACUGAGACACGGCCCAGACUCCUACGGGAGGCAGCAGUGGGGAAUUUUGGACAAUGGGCGAAAGCCUGAUCCAGCCAUGCCGCGUGC
rnacentral:rRNA from 1 species